rnacentral:lncRNA from 1 species
CCAUCUCCACUUUAUACAUGUGGAAACGAAUAUUCAAAGAAUCAAGUCCAAAAUCACACAGCUGCUAAGUAAUUUGGCUGGCAAGAAGAGGAAUUAUGAUCAAACUCCAAAACCGAAGUGUUUGUCACUAUACCCCAGGCCUGAGACAGGUUAAACCUAGGAGGAAGGGUUCUCUCUGAGGGAUAAAAAUCGGAACUUGUCCACUUGGCUUGUUGUUUUUGCAUAUAGUAAUGGAAAGACCCACCGACUAGCUGUGAGAACUUGGGUGAGUCUCUCAAACAUCCUGAGGCUGUUUACUCAUCUGCAAAAUGGACACAAAAACACCUGCUGUGCGCUUUUCACGGGUGGUGGUCAGAGUGAUGUGAGAAACAGUACGCAGCAGAGCGCUGUAAAACUGUCAAGUGCUCGACAGUGUCGGGUUGGAUGUGUGCUCUGGGGCAGGCCUCACUUUUCCUUGGUUGCGUCCAGCGGCUCAGCCAAAGGAGUCUAUUGGGGAAGUUAAGUGCACCUUCUGGGUUCAAGUCCAAUGUCCAACACAUUCUGCCAUUUCCUGGUGGAAUGAUAUCGGGCAGGUCACAAUCCUCUAAUUUGGGAAGAGUGCUGUCUACCUCAGGAAGUUCUUGUGAAGAUAAAAUGUGGUGAGUGUCUUUUUAAAAAUUUAUUUCUUUAUUAAAAUACAGUUGAUUUACAAUGUUGUGCCAAUUUCUGCUGUACACCAAAGUGACCCAGUCAUAUAUAUAUAUAUAUAUAUAUAUAUAUAUAUAUAUAUAUAUAUACACACACACAUUAUUUUUCUCAUAUUGUGUUCUAUCCCAAGAGAUUGGCUGCAGUUCCCUGUGCUAUACAGUAGGUGAGUGUUUUUGGUGGCAUUUUAUUGGCUACAAUACAGAUCCCCAGAGAAGUUAACUUCCUCUUCUGCCCCCCACCCCCACCUCCACCCCCAGCGAGUUAGCAGCCGGGCUGGGGAAGCAGUCAGGCAUCCCGUCUCUGGCCUAGGGCUCUUUCUACUCAGCCACGUGGAGCACCAACUCCACACUGAAAUAAUUUUCAGGUCACAAGUGAUUUUUGUAUGCAUGACCUCUUUAGCUUGCACUUCUCUGUCAAAUCCACACAUUAUCAAGCUCAGAAGUCUGAAGAAAACAUUUAUGUAGGAACUUCUGGAAAAUUGGUUUAGGUCUGGGGUGGCCUGAGGAGACCUAAAAAGAUAUGCGUGAUGGGGGAGGGGGGAAGACACCCUUUCACACCCCCUUCAGUUGUGGACAUGUAGAUUAUUUACUUUGUGGAUUGAUGUAACUCAAUCUUUAAUCCCAUGUUGGCUACGCUUUACCACUCCCCUCCACCAUCAGUGGGUGUGUGCUCAAGCAAUGUAAACUCAGGAAAGUAAUGCAAAACCGGGAAAGUAAAUCUACUUGUUGCAUCUUUCACCCACAUCAGCCUCCUCCACUCUUUUUAUUUCACCCCUCUCAACCAUUAGAAAACCAGAGAUAAAUGCUUUUUCAGUUUUCUUUGCUCAACUCCCAUUAUAGAACCAAUCGAAAGACAACUGGGCUAGAAGUCAGGAAGUCAGUGGCUUUAGGGAUGGCAUUGGUUAAUCACAGGCCCUCAGCAAGUUAGAUCAGUUCUUCAGGCUUUCGUUCCUCAUCUGUAAAACAUCAAAACAAAGCAAACAAAAACAAAAACAAAAAACGAAAGGAGAAUUCACAAGUCCCUCCUCUUUGCAUAGUACCUUCAGUUAUGUCCCUUUAUUUAGUACUUUUAAAAAACCCUGCUGGGUAAAAAUUUUGAUCUGCAUUAUGCAAAUGAAGAAAAUAAAGGGGCAGAGAAGCUAAGUAAAUUGCCCCA